rnacentral:rRNA from 1 species
UAGGGAAUCUUCCGCAAUGGGCGAAAGCCUGACGGAGCAACGCCGCGUGAGUGAAGAAGGAUUUCGGUUCGUAAAGCUCUGUUGUUAGGGAAGAAUGAUUGUGUAGUAACUAUACAUAGUAGAGACGGUACCUAACCAGAAAGCCACGGCUAACUACGUGCCAGCAGCCGCGGUAAUACGUAGGUGGCAAGCGUUGUCCGGAAUUAUUGGGCGUAAAGCGCGCGCAGGUGGUUUAAUAAGUCUGAUGUGAAAGCCCACGGCUCAACCGUGGAGGGUCAUUGGAAACUGUUAAACUUGAGUGCAGGAGAGAAAAGUGGAAUUCCUAGUGUAGCGGUGAAAUGCGUAGAGAUUAGGAGGAACACCAGUGGCGAAGGCGGCUUUUUGGCCUGUAACUGACACUGAGGCGCGAAAGCGUGGGGAGCAAACAGGAUUAGAUACCCUGGUAGUCCACGCCGUAAACGAUGAGUGCUAAGUGUUGGUCUCAUAGGAGAUCAGUGCUGCAGCUAACGUAUUAAGCACUCCGCCUGGGGAGUACGACCGCAAGGUUG